rnacentral:rRNA from 1 species
GACGAACCGUGCGAACGUUGUUCGGAAUCACUGGGCCUAAAGGGCGCGUAGGCGGGCCAUCAAGUCCGGGGUGAAAUCCUUCGGCUUAACCGGAGAAUUGCCUUGGAUACUGAUGGUCUUGAGGGAAGUAGGGGUCUGCGGAACUUCCGGUGGAGCGGUGAAAUGUGUUGAUAUCGGAAGGAACGCCGGUGGCGAAAGCGGCGGACUGGGCUUCUUCUGACGCUGAGGCGCGAAAGCUAGGGGAGCAAACGGG